CGUGAGGGAAAGGUGAAAAGAACCCCGGGAGGGGAGUGAAAUAGAACCUGAAACCAUGUGCCUACAACCGAUCAAAGCACCUUAUGUGUGUGAUGAUGUGCUUUUUGUAGAACGAGCCAACGAGUUACGGUAUGUAGCGAGGUUAAGUACUUAAGGUACGGAGCCGAAGGGAAACCAAGUCUUAAUAGGGCGACUAGUUGCAUGCUGUAGACCCGAAACCGGGUGACCUAUCCAUGGCCAGGUUGAAGCGGGGGUAAAACCCCGUGGAGGACCGAACCACGUUGCUGUUGAAAAAGCAUGGGAUGAGCUGUGGAUAGCGGAGAAAUUCCAAUCGAACUCGGAUAUAGCUGGUUCUCCUCGAAAUAGCUUUAGGGCUAGCGUCGACAAAUGUGAGUAGUGGAGGUAGAGCACUGAAUGGGCUAGGGGGCAUAGCGCUUACCGAACCUUAUCAAACUCCGAAUGCCACAUACUAUUAGUCCGGCAGUCAGACUGCGAAAGAUAAGUUCCGUAGUCAAAAGGGAAACAGCCCAGAUCGUCAGCUAAGGUCCCAAAGUGUAAGUUAAGUGGAAAAGGAUGUGGGAUUUCUAAGACAACUAGGAUGUUGGCUUAGAAGCAGCCAUUCAUUAAAAGAGUGCGUAAUAGCUCACUAGUCAAGAGAUCCUGCGCCGAAAAUGUCCGGGGCUCAAACUUACCACCGAAGCUACGGGUUCACACUUAGUGUGAGCGGUAGAGGAGCGUUGUAAUCGGGCUGAAGUCGUACCGUAAGGAGCGGUGGACUGAUUACAAGUGAGAAUGUUGGCAUUAGUAGCGAGAUGUAGGCGAGAAUCCUACAGGCCGAAUAUCUAAGGUUUCCUGGGUAAAGUUUGUCUUCCCAGGGUUAGUCGGGACCUAAGGCGAGGCCGAAAGGCGUAGUCGAUGGACAAUUGGUUGAUAUUCCAAUACCACUAUCAUCGUUAUUACCGAGGGUGUGACGGAGAAGGAUAGGAUGUGCUAGCUAUUGGAUGCUAGUCGAAGCGUUUAGGGAGUUAGGGUAGGCAAAUCCGCUCUAACAAUUCUGAGGCGUUAUAGGGAAGGUUCUACGGAACCGAAGUAUCUGAUUCCAUGCUUCCAAGAAAAGCAUCUAGGGAGAGAAGUAGUGCCCGUACCGCAAACCGACACAGGUAGAUGAGGAGAGAAUCCUAAGGCCGACGGAAGAAUUGCAGUUAAGGAACUAGGCAAAUUGACCCCGUAACUUCGGGAGAAGGGGUGCCUACGAAAGUAGGCCGCAGAGAAUAGGCACAAGCAACUGUUUAACAAAAACACAGGUCUCUGCUAAAGCGUAAGCUGAUGUAUAGGGGCUGACGCCUGCCCGGUGCUGGAAGGUUAAGGGGAACACUUAGCGCAAGCGAAGGUGUGAACUUAAGCCCCAGUAAACGGCGGCCGUAACUAUAACGGUCCUAAGGUAGCGAAAUUCCUUGUCAGGUAAGUUCUGACCCGCACGAAUGGCGUAAUGACUUGGGCACUGUCUCAACUGUGAAUCCGGCGAAGUUGUAGUGCGAGUGAAGAUGCUCGCUACCCGCGAUUGGACGGAAAGACCCCGUAGAGCUUUACUGUAGCUUAGCAUUGAAUUUCGGUAUUGUCUGUACAGGAUAGGUGGGAGACUGGGAAAUCAGGGCGUCAGCCUUGAUGGAGUCGUCCUUGGGAUACCACCCUGACAGUACUGAGGUUCUAACUGGAUGCCAUGAAUCUGGUGACAGGACAUUGUUAGGUGGGCAGUUUGACUGGGGCGGUCGCCUCCUAAAAAGUAACGGAGGCGCCCAAAGGUUCCCUCAGAACGGUCGGAAAUCGUUCGAAGAGUGCAAAGGCAGAAGGGAGCCUGACUGCGACACCCACAAGUGGAGCAGGGACGAAAGUCGGGCUUAGUGAUCCGGUGGUACCUCGUGGGAGGGCCAUCGCUCAACGGAUAAAAGCUACCUCGGGGAUAACAGGCUGAUCUCCCCCAAGAGU
rnacentral:rRNA from 1 species